rnacentral:rRNA from 1 species
CCUACGGGUGACAGCAGUGAGGAAUAUUGGUCAAUGGGCGCGAGCCUGACCCAGCCAAGUAGCGUGAAGGAUGACUGUCCUACGGGUUGUAAACUUCUUUUAUAAAGGAAUAAAGUGAGGCACGUGUGCCUUUUUGUAUGUACUUUAUGAAUAAGGAUCGGCUAACACCGGGCCAGCAGCCGCGGUAAUACGGAGGGUCCGAGCGUUAUCCGGAUUGAUUGGGUUUAAAGUGAGCGUAGAUGGGUUGUUAAGUCAGUUGUGAAAGUUUGCGGCUCAACCGUAAAAUUGCAAUUGAUACUGGCAGUCUUGAGUGCAGAUGAGGUAAGCGGAAUUCGUGGUGUAGCGGUGAAAUGCUUAGAUAUCACGAAGAACUCCGAUUGCGAAGGCAGCUUACUAAACUGCCACUGACAUUGAUGCUCGAAAGUGUGGGUAUCAAACAGGAUUAGAUACCCCUGUAGUC